rnacentral:misc_RNA from 1 species
UUGAAAAGUUUUGGGGAUACUGUUGCUGGCUUAUAACAAGGCAUGUGCACGUAUCUCUAAUCUAUUCAUCCACCUGUGCACUUUUUGUAGGAGUUUCUUUUCAAGUUGGUAUACAAGCGUCUCUAGGGACUUUGUAGAAGAUUUGAUCAGGGCUUCUAUGUUUUACAAACUAGUUAAGCAUGUUUAGAAUGUCUUUUUAUUGGGACUUGAUUGACCCUUUAAACUUGUA